rnacentral:rRNA from 1 species
AGGGCACCACCAGGAGUGGAGCCUGCGGCUUAAUUUGACUCAACACGGGGAAACUUACCCGGCCCGGACACUGGAAGGAUUGACAGAUUGAGAGCUCUUUCUUGAUUCAGUGGGUGGUGGUGCAUGGCCGUUCUUAGUUGGUGGAGCGAUUUGUCUGGUUAAUUCCGAUAACGAACGAGACUCUAGCCUAUUAAAUAGGCUCCCGGCUUUUAAACGCCGGGAGGACUUCUUAGAGGGACAGGUGGCGGUUCAGCCGCACGAAAGAGAGCAAUAACAGGUCUGUGAUGCCCUUUGAUGUCCGGGGCCGCACGCGCGCUACACUGAAGAGAUCAGCGUGCUUUAUGUUCCUGCUCCGACCGGAGUGGGGAACCCAGUGAAACUUCUUCGUGAUUGGGAUAGAACAUUGUAAUUAUUGUUCUUGAACGAGGAAUUCCCAGUAAGUGCGAGUCAUAAGCUCGCGUUGAUUACGUCCCUGCCCUUUGUACACACCGCCCGUCGCUACUACCGAUUGAACGAUUU